CCUACGGGAGGCAGCAGUGGGGAAUAUUGGACAAUGGGGGAAACCCUUAUCCAGCGACGCCGCGUGAGGGAAGAAGGUCUUCGGAUUGUAAACCUCUGUCAGUGGGGACGAUAAUGACGGUACCCACGGAGUAAGCCACUGCUAACUACGUGCCAGCAGCCGCGGUAAUACGUAGGGGACAAGGGUUGUCCGGAAUUACUGGGUGUAGAGGGAGCGUAGGCGGGAUUUCAAGUCAGAAGUGAAAAUUAUGGGAUCAACCCAUGACUUGCUUUUGAAACUGAUAAUCUUGAGUGAAGUAGAGGCAAGCGGAAUUCCUGGUGUAGCGGUGAAAUGCGUAGAUAUGAGGAGGAACACCAGUGGCGAAGGCGGCUUGCUGGG
rnacentral:rRNA from 1 species